AUUGAACGCCGGCGGCAGGCUUAACACAUGCAAGUCGAGCGGGGGAAGGUAGCUUGCUACUGGACCUAGCGGCGGACGGGUGAGUAAUGCUUAGGAAUCUGCCUAUUAGUGGGGGACAACAUCUCGAAAGGGAUGCUAAUACCGCAUACGUCCUACGGGAGAAAGCAGGGGAUCUUCGGACCUUGCGCUAAUAGAUGAGCCUAAGUCGGAUUAGCUAGUUGGUGGGGUAAAGGCCUACCAAGGCGACGAUCUGUAGCGGGUCUGAGAGGAUGAUCCGCCACACUGGGACUGAGACGCGGCCCAGACUCCUACGGGAGGCAGCAGUGGGGAAUAUUGGACAAUGGGGGGAACCCUGAUCCAGCCAUGCCGCGUGUGUGAAGAAGGCCUUAUGGUUGUAAAGCACUUUAAGCGAGGAGGAGGCUACUCUAGUUAAUACUUAGGGAUAGUGGACGUUACUCGCAGAAUAAGCACCGGCUAACUCUGUGCCAGCCGCCGCCGUAA
rnacentral:rRNA from 1 species